UAUUCCAAAUUUGAAGUGUUUGGUUUAUUUUUUUUCAAGAAUAGGAGUUGGGAUAAUAAACUGCAGAGUCAGUUAAAUAAAGUGUCUAGUUUAUUCUUAAUCCAAAUCUAUUUUCUUAUCACUGUAGGAAUAAACCCUGCUGGAGUUAAUUCAGAAAAGUUCAGCAAACAAAAAUAGAUCCCACCCUUCUUCAUUAUCCUAAACAGAAAUCUUCACGAAUCUCACAUAUUCUGCUUCUACUCCUGGGUGGAGAAAAACCUAAACAUCUCCAGAGAAGUGACAUGUAUAAGGUAAAAUACCAAGAAGUGCAAAUGAGAAGAUGAGAUUCUCAAUGUGCCCAGGGAUUCUUAAUUGAAGAAAGCAAGAUAGCAAAACCUGGCUCUUUCACUGCUUCUCCAGCCUUUUGAGGUCAGCACCUUUGCAGAACUUCAGCAGCAGCCUGAGAGUAACAGGUGAAAAGAAAACUGCCCCAUGGAGAGCACAAGGAGGGAUUAUUGGUCACCGAGCUACUGUGCUAUUUGCCUUCAGUAUGUCCCUGCAAAUUCAAUAUCACAUCGAGAGAAGGCUUACAAAAUCCAAAGGACA